UCCAAACAUAUAUCUACGAAGAGGGGGCUCCCUAUCCCUUCUCCCUAGAAGUGGGGACAAAGUUUUGUACCUGAAGGCCAGGAUUACGAUUCUUUCCAGACUACUAGUGUGAUUGGCGACUCAGCAUCCCUGGUCCUUUUUCCAAGCUCACCUUGGCCUUUAACCUUGACCACUCCCGGCGCUCGACCCUGUGGGGCAUAAUUCGAGUUAAGGGAAUAUGCCACUAAGUACUGCGACAUCCAGGAAUCCCUGCGGCCUAUGUUCUUCUGAAUGAGAAGCUGCCUGCCUUUAAGACUCAUGGAUGUUAUGGUCCUACAGAGGAGCUUGGAAGAAUUCAGCUUUGAAAAGUUCAAAGGUCAUGAUCUCCUUCACUAAUGAGCCACACAUUCUAUACUCUCUUCUGUUAAAGAAUCAUCUGUCCUACAAACUCAGCUGCAUUCUCAGAUUUGCUGAGGUCAAUUGAGGACCUCCACUCACCUCCGU